CCUUUAGGAGCAGGCAGAUUCAGCAACUCUUCCUGACGAGGGAGAAGAGGGAAAUGCUGCUCAUAGCACCAGUGCUGAUCUUAUGGAUGCAAAUACCACAAGUGAACGCACAACAGAUAAGUCAAAUUCCUCAAUUCUUGUUUCUACAAGAAGGAGAGAACUUCACCACGUACUGCAAUUCCUCAAGCACUUUAACCAACUUACAGUGGUAUAAGCAGAGUCCUGGGGGAAGUCCUGUCCUCUUGAUGAUACUAGCGAAGGCUGGAGAAGUGAAGACGGAGCAGAGACUGACAGGUCGGCUUGGAGAGACCAGAAAGCACGGCUCCCUGCACCUCGCGGCUGCCCAGCUCUCAGACGCAGGAACCUACUUCUGUGCAGGGCACAGUGCUCUGGAAGCACCUGCU